GAUGAACGCUAGCUACAGGCUUAACACAUGCAAGUCGCAGGGUAACAUGAGGAAAGCUUGCUUUCCUUGAUGACGACUGGCGCACGGGUGAGUAACGCGUAUCCAACCUUCCCAUAACUACGGGAUAACCCGUUGAAAGACGGCCUAAUACCGUAUGAUAUCGUUUGCUGACAUCAAAUAACGAUUAAAGGUUUAGCGGUUAUGGAUGGGGAUGCGUCUGAUUAGCUUGUUGGCGGGGUAACGGCCCACCAAGGCGACGAUCAGUAGGGGUUCUGAGAGGAAGGCCCCCCACAUUUGACCUGGGACCCGGUCCAAACUCCUCCGGGAGGCAGCAGUGGGGAAUAUUGGUCAAGGGGGGGGAGCCUGAACCAGCAAAGUAGCGUGCAGGACGACGGCCCUUUGGGUUUUAACCUGCUUUUUUGGGGGGAAAAAGUGGGUGACGUGUCAUGCAUUGCAGGUACCCCAGGAAUAAAGACCGGCUAAUUCCGU
rnacentral:rRNA from 1 species